CACAAGCCCCCUGAAGGAACCAUGUAGACUACGUGGUUGAUAGGUCAGGUGUGUAAGUACAGCAAUGUAUUGAGCUAACUGAUACUAAUGAUCCGAGAGGCUUGACCAUAUAACCUCA
rnacentral:rRNA from 1 species